AACUGAUACUACCUGCGGGAACCUGCGGAGGGAUCAUCAAUGAAUCUAACUCAUAUCCACCCUUGUGAACUGUGCCGGCGCCUCCGGGGGAGCACCCCCCGGGGGCUGUCGACGACCAUUUAUUUGGAUAUUUGGCGGGAUUAGUUUGAGCCGCUCCGCGCUCAUCUCCUUCCCCAUCUCUUUGGGCUAGUCUAGCACGGGGGGGUGGGGCAGGUGGUGGGGGGGGACAGCUCGCUGCCC
rnacentral:misc_RNA from 1 species